rnacentral:lncRNA from 11 species
UUUGUGCACUGAUGGAAGAACAGCGACUACAGUGAUACUUUCUUUUUUUUGUCUUCCUUUCUAGUGAAAUUUAGCGGCUGCUCGGAGAGCAAGGGAAUUCGAUAUGAAACUGACAACUUGGACUUCAAGAAAGGAAAGAAGAACAUGUCAGCAGAUCUGCUGCAACAGCCAAGUGACACGCUGCUACCGUGGCGCCAUCACCAGAAUCCUCAUGGGCUCAGGCGGCAGAAGCGAGACUGGGUUAUCCCACCAAUCAAUGUGCCAGAAAAUUCAAGAGGACCCUUCCCUCAGCAGCUGGUUAGGGUGAGUGAAAUGGCUGAAUAAUUUAUUUCCACAAUGGAUGGCUGGUCGAAUUGUUUACUUCGCAAAGCCUGUCGGUGGUGAGUCACCUCCAGAACAAAAACUUGUUUCUCUAAAUCAGAAUCAACAGAAACACUGUGGGUUUUGUUUUUGUUUUUGGAAUAAAAU